rnacentral:rRNA from 1 species
UACGUAGGGGCCUAGCGUUGUUCGGAAUUACUGGGCGUAAAGCGCACGUAGGCGGCUUUCUAAGUCGGGGGUGAAAUCCUGGAGCUCAACUCCAGAACUGCCUUCGAUACUGGAAAGCUCGAGUCCGGGAGAGGUGAGUGGAACUGCGAGUGUAGAGGUGAAAUUCGUAGAUAUUCGCAAGAACACCAGUGGCGAAGGCGGCUCACUGGCCCGGUACUGACGCUGAGGUGCGAAAGCGUGGGGAGCAAACAGG